AUUCUGUUAGGAGGCUAGGAGGAUUAGGAUUUCCUUUGCCCUGCCCUGCUAGUGGGUCCUUCUCUGGUCAAAGAUUCAGCUCUAACAAAGGAAGGGUCCACCUGAGAGACUGUUCUGAGGACCAGCCCUGUACCUUCCCCCCAUAACAACUUUGAACUCAGUCUCUAGCUUCUUUUUCAAAAAUUAUUCUUUUUUUAUUUUUUAAAGAUGGUUCUCACUCAGUCACCUAGGCUGGAGUGCAGUGGCACAGCCAUAGCUCCUGUGCUCAAGCAAUCCUCCUGCCUGGGCCUCCCAAAUAGCUGGGACUAUGGGUGCACACCACUGUCCCCCGCAUGAACUCAGUCUCUAACCCACUUCCUUUUCCUGUUCCACUUCCAGGUGACCACUGACUGGGACCUUCAGAAGGGCACUGGCUGCACUGAGGGCCACACAGGGACCUCAGCUGCAGCGCCUCUGGCAGCUGGCAUGAUAGCCUUAAUGCUGCAGGUGCGGCCCUGCCUCACAUGGCGUGACGUCCAGCACAUAAUUGUCUUCACAGCCACCCGGGUGAGAUACCAGCAGGUAGACAAGUGGCCUGGCCCAGCCUGCUCCAGAGUUUGGGUAUCAGGUGGCCUUAGAUUCUCAAUGUCCCAAAUGUUAGAUACUAAGUCUCUUUCAGGGUCCCUUUCAGAGUUGCAUAUGUAAAGAACAGGUGUGGGGACCCCACAAAGACCACAGGCCUAAACUCAUUUUAUCUGCAAAGGAGAGCUCUGGCUGUGCCUCCUGGCUCCCUCUCUAGAAGCAAGCCAGUGGGGUGGUGACAUCAUGGGCUUUGACCUUUUGUCCCAGCUUCCCUUGGGGAAUCCAUUCCCAGUAGCCACAGUAGCCACAGUGGGAGAGCGUGGACUGGAUCAGCCAGCAGGGCAAGCAGGGAAACCAGAGUCAGAUUGUUGAGACUACACUGGCAAUGCAAGAGACUAACCAGGACCUCUGUCCUUUCAGUACGAGGAUCGCCGUGCAGAGUGGGUCACCAACGAGGCAGGCUUCAGCCAUAGCCACCAGCACGGUUUCGGCCUGCUCAACGCCUGGAGGCUCGUGAAUGCAGCCAAGGUGAACAGGCGUUGGCAGGGCAGGGUGCCCUGUGUGGAGUGACCAAGGGUCGAGGCUGAAUGCCCAAAACAUUGCCUGGGAUAUCAUAGGUGCCUAGUAAAUGUUCAUUCAGUUCAUUGAUUUAACCACUUCAACCUUCAUCCCAGCUGAUACCCAUUUUACAAAUGAGAAAGCAGGCUCAAUGCUAUCACUGACGUUUCCAAACUACUAAUAGAAUAAAUGGGACCUGAGUAUUUGUGGGACUCAGGAUGCUCUGGUUCCCCUCCUCCACCCUGGACACAGCCGUUUCCUCUGGUUCCUUAGCUGGGGGCUGUACAGAGCAUUCCAGCGAGCAAGCAGGAGCCAAGGGCUGAAGGAAGGUGGUGAGGAGUGGAAAAAUAAAGAUAGCUAAACCUUCAAGAUCGUAUUGACAAGGGCUUGUGUGUUUGUGAGAAUGUGGGUGUGAUCAUUCUUGUUUGUUGAUUUGCCAUCCCCUCCUUUCCUUUCAUAGAUCUGGACAUCUGUCCCUUAUUUAGCAUCCUACGUCAGUCCCGUGUUAAAAGAAAACAAGGCGAUUCCACAGUCCCCUCGUUCCCUGGAGGUCCUGUGGAAUGUCAGCAGGAUGGACCUGGAGAUGUCGGGGCUGAAGACCCUGGAGCAUGUGGCUGUGACAGUCUCCAUCACUCACCCACGGCGCGGCAGCUUGGAGCUGAAGCUGUUCUGCCCCAGCGGAAUGAUGUCCCUCAUCGGCGCCCCCCGCAGCAUGGACUCGGAUCCCAACGGCUUCAAUGACUGGACCUUCUCCACCGUGCGAUGCUGGGGGGAGAGAGCCCGAGGGACCUACAGGCUUGUCAUCAGGGAUGUCGGGGAUGAGUCAUUCCAGGUCGGCAUCCUCCGGCAAUGGCAGCUGACCCUAUAUGGCUCUGUGUGGAGUCCAGUAGACAUCAGGGACAGACAAAGGCUGUUAGAGAGUGCCAUGAGUGGAAGAUACCUGCAUGAUGACUUCGCCCUGCCCUGCCCACCGGGGCUGAAAAUUCCCGAGGAAGAUGGUUACACCAUCACCCCCAAUACCCUCAAGACCCUGGUGCUGGUAGGCUGUUUCACCGUCUUCUGGACCGUUUACUACAUGCUGGAAGUAUAUUUGAGCCAGAGGAAUGUGGCUUCCAAUCAAGUUUGUAGGAGUGGACCCUGCCACUGGCCCCAUCGGAGCCGGAAAGCCAAGGAGGAAGGGACAGAGCUAGAAUCAGUGCCACUUUGCAGCAGCAAGGAUCCAGACGAAGUGGAAAC
rnacentral:sRNA from 1 species